rnacentral:rRNA from 1 species
UUCUGGCUCAGAGUUAACGCUGGCGGCGUGCCUAACACAUGCAAGUCGGGCGGGGAGUGGCAGAGUACCGCGCUCCCAGCGGCAGACGGGUGAGUAACGCGUAGGCAACAUGCCCAUAAGAGGGAGACAACCAGCCGAAAGGUUGGCUAAUAUCCCGUAAUACCCGGGGGAGGCAUCUUUUCCGGGUUAAAGCAGCGAUGCGCUUAUGGAGUGGCCUGCGGCCUAUCAGCUAGUUGGUGAGGUAACGGCCCACCAAGGCAUAGACGGGUAGCCGAUCUAAAAGGAUGACCGGCCACAAGGGGACUGAGACACGGCCCCUACUCCUACGGGAGGCAGCAGUGGGGAAUUUUGGACAAUGGGGGAAACCCUGAUCCAGCCGACGCCGCGUGAAGGAUGAAGGUUUUCGGAUUGUAAACUUCUUUUGCAGGGGGCAAAGGCCGGCAACGGCGUGAUGGUACCCUGUGAAUAAGCCACGGCUAACUACGUGCCAGCCGCUGC